rnacentral:rRNA from 1 species
GGGGUCAGCUUUCCGAAAGGAGGGUGGGGGGAUGUUUGGUUCCCCCUGCUUGGGCAGACUGGAGAGCAUGGCGCAACCGGCACACCUAGUGUGUCGGCCAAGUCAUGUUUGGCCUCUGCUGAUCGAGCUUGUCACCUGAAUUCUACUACCCUUGCUUUUUGCGCACCCAUUGUUUCCUCGGCAGGCUUGCCUGCCAGUAGGACCUUUUAAAACCCUUUGUAAUUGCAAUCAGCGUCAGAAACAACGUAAUCGUUACAACUUUCAACAACGGAUCUCUUGGUUCUGGCAUCGAUGAAGAACGCAGCGAAAUGCGAUAAGUAGUGUGAAUUGCAGAAUUCAGUGAAUCAUCGAAUCUUUGAACGCACAUUGCGCCCCUUGGUAUUCCAUGGGGCAUGCCUGUUCGAGCGUCAUUUGUACCCUCCAGCCCUGCUGGGUGUUGGGCGUUUGUUCCGCUGCGCGCGUGAACUCGCCUCAAAUGCAUUGGCAGCCCGCCGUCCCGUGUGGGAGCGCAGCACAUUUUGCGCUCUCCACUGCUGACGGUGGCAUCCAUAAAGUCUACCAUUUUACGCUUGACCUCGGAUCAGGUAGGGAUACCCGCUGAACUUAAGCAUAUCAAUAA